UGUGUACACAUGCUUGUGUAUUGGAGUGAGAUCUGCAUUUGCAUUGACAUUUGUCACUCAGUAGAAGGCGGGAAGCUACACAAAGCGACACAAAGUGCUGGACAUUUGGAUAAACUUGAUCUGUUUGUAGAUCAUGAAUAGUUGCCCUAAACAGAUGAACGACCAUUGCACCACCAUGACCAGAUGACCGCCGACGCCUCCUCGCCUGAUUCAACAUAAUCACCUACGUAACGUCACCAUGGUCAUCGCCUGGUCCUCUGUUAUUUCAUGUAGGACGUCACCAUGGUACCUUACGCCUCUCCACCCGGCCUCUUUACGUACGGUGACACGCUUCUCCAAAUGUGCACUAGCGAACGUCGACAAGAAUACCAACGAAAGAUAAGUUUCAUUUUUUAAUACUUUUUGGUAGUAGAAUGUUCGAAGAGAAAUCUGCUUGACAUUCGCAUAUGUUUCUAUAAAAAGUUUUAGCUAAAAACGAAUGUUUAGACCUUAAAGGUCACUUUAUAUUUUAUAAGCUUUACAUUUAUGAAUCAAAAGUUCAUGGGAAAAACUUAAUUUUAAGGAAAAUUGUAUAAAUGAAAAACAAAACACAUUGAUCUCAUACAAAAGAAGUGUUAGUCUAGUAUGAAAAAAAUCGUCUCAUUCUUCGUAAUAAUUAAAAAAAAUAACUUAAGAAAUACACGAAAAUCAGAUAGGCAUUUUUUGCUGGUAUAAGCAAUUUUACAGUGAAAAUGCUAAAGGCGCCAGCAUGUUUCCCAAAAUUGCUGUUACCGAACCAUGGUAGCUGAAAAUGUUUAUUCCAUUUUCGUGUAUAUUAAAUAUAUAUUCUUGCACAUUAGUGCAAACAUUUUUGGCUAAUUGUAGGGGGCUUUGUUUGUAUGAGAUUAAUGAUACUAAUUAGAAUAGUAUAUAUAAUAGUGAUUACAGCCUUCUAGCGGUAAUCGCGUUUAUUUACACACAAGACGUUGUCACUUUGCGGUUCUGUGAGUACGAAUGUAAACGAGUAUGAAAUGCGUGGGGCGAAUAUGUCUCGUCCUUUCCGUUUCCGGUUCCAAGCAACUUAAUAUAGACUUAACAAUGUGAAAGGCUUAUGAAAUAUGAAGUGAACAAUAUAUCAUAUGUUUUACAUUUAUUUGUAUUUAUUAUGAUGUAUUAUAUAAACUCUAUAAUGAAAGCAAUGUACAUGCAUUGUUUUUAAGCGUCCACUGUUCCGGAAGUGUCGCUUCGUCCAACCGGAAAUGAUGAUGCUUGCAACCGGAAGUGAUGCCCCUGCAACCGGAAAUGAUGAUGCUUGCAACCGGAAGUGAUGCCCCUGCAACCGGAAGUGACGCCCCCCCUACAUUCGGAAGUGAUGCUCCAUCAACGAGCGGCCAUGUUUCAGUGUCCCGACAAGCCAGAAGACCGUCGACCCGGGCCGUUCCACUGACGGGCGGAUUGUUUGUUGACGGACCCGACCCAUUCCACUGACGGUGAACUCCUUUAACUAUGGUGUUACCGUGUCUGAGAACGGAUCGUUUUGCAUCUAGAAAGUCGUAAAGAAAAUUGGCCAUUCCAAGAGAACACACGGACAUUUAAACUUCCAAAUAAUUGAUUGUCAAGUUAACUACAUUAGAACCUUAUUGAAUAAUCAGAGUCUUGUGUUGUGAUGUGACCAUCUAACAUUCUUAUGAUGAGACAUAAGUUGGACUUAAAGUUAAAACAUAUACUUACUUAUACAAUAUACAAAUACAAUAUAUGUUAUUGAAAUUUGAAAUCACUUCUGUCAUACCAUAUAAUGUUAAAUUGUUGAUUAUCUGUGAAUUAUGAAAGCUUACCAUUGAGGCCACUGUUAAUGUAUUUCUUGUUUCACUGUUAUUUGAAAAAAAUGUAGGGUAUGUAGAUUAAACAUCGAACAACAAAGCUUUUAACAUGACUGCAAAAAGGGUACACAUAUUUUGCGUAUGGGAUGUUUUCAUACCUUUAUCAAAUAGCCAAAGGAGCUGUAUUUAAUGUCCUUUAAUACAUACUUUUUACAUAGCUGUAUAUAAUGUUAUGGGGUUUGAAAUAUGAGAAUGAUUUCAGUUUUUUUCUCUUUUUAUGGCAAGUAUUGUGAAAAAAAAUCACUUAACAGUGGCUUUAUCUUAUGAAAUGUUAGAUUAUCACAAAUUUAUGAAAUGAUUUACUUAUAUAUAAGAAUAUGAUUUAUAUGUGUUUGUGUUGAUGAAUUCCAAUUUAUCUAUAUGAUGCAGUAUCACACAUUUAUAUAACUGGAUGAUUUUAUUUUGUAAAAUUUUCAAUUUUUGAAAAGAAGUUUAUUAAGGUUGAAAAUUUCAGCAAAUUUAGAUCAAGUGUAUAUUUUUUAUUUCUGAAUAUUUUUACUGAUAACACUUUAUAUAUGAAUAUAACUGGCAACUAUUUGACUUGUACUUUGCAACUAUUUGACUUAUACUUGGCAACUAUUUGACGUAUACUUGGCAACUAUUUGACGUAUACUUUGCAACUAUUUGACAUAUACUUGGCAACUAUUUGACCUAUACUUUGCAACUAUUUGACUUAUACUUGGCAAUUAAGCAUUUUUGUUUUACCUUUUUAAAUUGGAUAGAGUGUGAAUAGAGAAAGCCUUCAAUUGUUUAAAUUUAUUUUCAAAAACAACAACAUGUGAAUGGACAGACGGACAAAAUGCCACAUUAUAAAAAAAAUAUACAACUAAAUGUGUUAUUGCAUCAUAUUAAUCAGUAUUUAUUUUUGUAUAUUUGAUGACUUUUAUGUUGAUAUGAAACAAAUCAAAUUGGUAUAAUAGUGACAAUAAUAAUGCACAAAAUAUAUUUAAUUUUUUUUUUACUCUCUCUCUCUCUAUAACUAGAUAUUGUAAAUCCUUCUUUUUUCCAAUGUGUUAAAAUUUCAAAACACCUGUAAAGAUUCUUUAAAUAGUUUGUACAAUCAAAAAAGUUUUUUAUUUCAAUUUUAAAAACAAUAACGAUUAUUGUGCUUUCAAUAAAGAAUCUAGGCGCCAGUUUCUUUAUGAAAGUUGUAUUUAAAUCAGUCGGUGAAUUGCUGCAGCUUGUUCACUUGUUAUCGCACUCUAACACUAACUCUACAUGACAUACUUUAGUAAUUGACCGACUGAAAACGUAUUUUAUAUUGGGAUAUUUGUACAAACUAUUUAUUUUCUCCUUUUAUCAACUUGUCUAGUUACUUUUGGAUCUAUGAAACAUAUUUAAACAUUAUUUUUAAAGAACAAAACACGUUUGGCGUUCUAUUUUAAAACCAUAAAAAGUACUUUUUUUAAUGUGCAUAAAACAGUCACACUGAUUGAUUUGUUUCUUGAUGGUAAUUUAAUGUUUCUCGUUUAUAAAUGAAAUGCUAUAUAUAAAAGAAUAAAAUGAUGGAACAAAAUGUGUUUAAUUACUAAAGAUUCAAGACAUAUUGUCACGUGAUACACAUGUGUAAUACGUCAUUAAAAUGGCCGAUCAUGUGACUUUUAGGUACCACGUGAUCUCAAGUUUUGAUGACGUAUGCAACAAAAUAUACAUGUGUAGUACGUCAUCGAAAUGGCGGAUCAUGUGACCUUUUGGUGUUUCACGUGAUCUCGAAUUUUGAUGACGUAUGCAACAAAACUCGC